rnacentral:rRNA from 1 species
GAUCAUGGCUCAGGACGAACGCUGGCGGCGUGCUUAACACAUGCAAGUCGAACGAUGAAGCUGGAGCUUGCUCCGGUGGAUUAGUGGCGAACGGGUGAGUAACACGUGAGCAAUCUGCCCUUGACUCUGGGAUAACUGCGGGAAACUGUAGCUAAUACCGGAUAUUUUCCCUGGUGGGCAUCCACUGGGGAAGAAAGAAUUUCGGUCAAGGAUGAGCUCGCGGCCUAUCAGCUAGUUGGUGAGGUAAUGGCUCACCAAGGCGACGACGGGUAGCCGGCCUGAGAGGGUGACCGGCCACACUGGAACUGAGACACGGUCCAGACUCCUACGGGAGGCAGCAGUGGGGAAUAUUGCACAAUGGGCGAAAGCCUGAUGCAGCAACGCCGCGUGAGGGACGAAGGCCUUCGGGUUGUAAACCUCUUUUAGCAGGGAAGAAGCGAAAGUGACGGUACCUGCAGAAAAAGC